rnacentral:rRNA from 1 species
GCGGNGGGUAACGGCCCACCGGGGCGACGAUCAGUAGGGGUUCUGAGAGGAAGGUCCCCCACAUUGGAACUGAGACACGGUCCAAACUCCUACGGGAGGCAGCAG